AGAGUUUGAUCAUGGCUCAGGAUGAACGCUAGCGGCAGGCUUAAUACAUGCAAGUCGAGGGGCAGCGCAGUGUAGCAAUACAUGGGCGGCGACCGGCAAACGGGUGCGGAACACGUACGCAAUCUACCCAAAACUGAUGAAUAGCCCUCCGAAAGGAGGAUUAAUACAUCGUAACUUAAGGAAGUGGCAUCACUAUCUUAAUAUAGCUCCGGCGGUUUUGGAUGAGCGUGCGCCUGAUUAGGUAGUUGGCGGGGUAACGGCCUACCAAGGCGGCGAUCCGUAGCUGGUCUGAGAGGACGAUCAGCCACACUGGGACUGAGACACGGCCCAGACUCCUACGGGAGGCAGCAGUGGGGAAUCUUGCGCUAAUGCGGGAAACCGUGACGCAGCGACGCCGCGUGAGGGAAGAAGGCCUUCGGGUUGUAAACCUCUUUCAGGAGGGACGAAGCUACUCGGGUUAAUAGCCCAGAGGGUGACGGUACCUCCAGAAGAAGCCCCGGCUAACUACGUGCCAGCCGCCGCGGUAAUAC
rnacentral:rRNA from 1 species